CUAGCCGUAAACGAUGUAGACUUGGUGUCGGUGGGGUAAAAGCCAUCGGUGCCGAAGCAAACGCGAUAAGUCUACCGCCUGGGGACUACGGCCGCAAGGUUAAAACUCAAAGGAAUUGACGGGGGCCCGCACAAGCAGCGGAGCGUGUGGUUUAAUUCGAUGCUACGCGAAGAACCUUACCCGGGUUUGACAUACAGGUGGUAGGGAAUUGAAAGAGGACCGACCCUUCGGGGAGCCUGAACAGGUGC
rnacentral:rRNA from 1 species